AGCCGAAACAGUGGAUUUAUAAUCCGCUGUCCGUCGGGAGUGGUCCCCCGUCGCUGAUGAGGCAGACCAAA
rnacentral:hammerhead_ribozyme from 1 species